GUUAUAGUAGUUUAAUUAAAACAUUGGUCUUGUAAACCAAAAUAGAGAAUAUUAACGUCUCCUGGAACU
rnacentral:tRNA from 1 species